UACGGGGGGGGCUAGCGUUGUUCGGAAUUACUGGGCGUAAAGCGUACGUAGGCGGCUUUGUAAGUUAGAGGUGAAAGCCCGGGGCUCAACUCCGGAAUUGCCUUUAAGACUGCAUCGCUUGAAUCAUGGAGAGGUGAGUGGAAUUCCGAGUGUAGAGGUGAAAUUCGUAGAUAUUCGGAAGAACACCAGUGGCGAAGGCGACUAACUGGACAUGUAUUGACGCUGAGGUGCGAAAGCGUGGGGAGCAAACAGG
rnacentral:rRNA from 1 species